rnacentral:rRNA from 1 species
GACUACUGGGGUAUCUAAGCCUGUUUGCUCCCCAUGCUUUCGUGCAUCAGCGUCAGUUACAACUUAGUAAGCUGCCUUCGCAAUCGGUGUUCUGUGUGAUAUCUAAGCAUUUCACCGCUACACCACACAUUCCGCCUACCUCAACUGUACUCAAGACCUGCAGUAUCAAUGGCAGUUCUACGGUUAAGCCGCAGUAUUUCACCACUGACUAACAGGUCCGCCUACGCACCCUUUAUACCUAAUAAAUCCGGAUAACGCUUGCAUCCUCCGUAUUACCGCGGCUGCUGGCACGGAGUUAGCCGAUGCUUAUUCAUACGGUACCGUCAGUCUCCGACACGUCGGAGGGUUCUUCCCGUAUAAAAGCAGUUUACAACCCAUAGGGCCUUAAUCCUGCACGCGGCAUGGCUGGUUCAGGCUUGCGCCCAUUGACCAAUAUUCCUCACUGCAGCCCCCCGUAGG